CUCAAGACAGGUCACACAGAGGGAGCAGUCUUUGUGGGAAGCUCUUAGUGACACCAAACAUCAGUCUAAACACUAAUACAUGGAAUCAAAAGGCUUGGGACCCUCAGACAGCUCUCAUGGGGAAGUGGUGAUCAGCCUGACACUGGAGUAGGUCCUCUGGGAGUGUCCAGUUUCCAGUGACCAGGUGUCAGAGAGAGUGGCCUCAGUGAUGCCCAGUGGAUGGGACCCACCAAGUUCUCACCAUUCUGUGCUCCACAGCGAGAGCUUGUUGGCCAGGGUUGGGAUAAUGGAGUGAUCAGGGAGCACAUGGUAGAGGAAGCUGCUCACCUUGGCAACCAAGAUGCAAAGAGAAGGAGGGAGGCCAGGGCUCCACCAUUGUCUUCGGGGGCUGCUGCUGAUUGGAAGACUUCCAACAAGACCCCACCUCUCCGAGAUUCCACUGCCUGCAGACAGUGCCACAGGCUGAGCACUUCUCAUGCCACAGCACUUAACAUGUUCCAGCCCAAUCAUGAUUUGAGUGCUCCUGUCAUCUGCAUUUCCAAACUGAGACUCCCUUAGGCUCAGAGAAGUUAACUAACUCACACCAGGUCACACAGCUUGAAAGUUUUAGAGAUGAUAUUUACACUCAUGUGUUUGGACUCCACAGCCAAUAACUUCUCAUUAUAUUCACCUCCAGUUUGGAAAUAGUUCUUUCAUUAAUAUGGAAUUUUACUGGAAAUAGAGAAUACCUGGCCACCAUUCAUUGAACCAUGACUUCCUGUACAA